UCGUAACAAGGUUUCCGUAGGUGAACCUGCGGAAGGAUCAUUAACGCGCAACUACCCCGGAUAGCGAGUGAGCGCUUGCGCCGUCUUCGUCGAUGUCUGUUGUAUAACCGGCCGGCGUCGUGCGGCUCAGCGCCGCUGACAAGCACCGGAAGUCGCCCAUUCUUGCCUACCGACCCAGUUGCCUCGGCGGGCCGUUCCGCGCCCGCCGGUGGACAGUUAUAAAAAUCAUUUAGUUAAAAGGUUGUCUGAGCGUAUAAAGCAAAUCAGUUAAAACUUUCAACAACGGAUCUCUUGGUUCCGGCAUCGAUGAAGAACGCAGCGAAAUGCGAUAAGUAAUGUGAAUUGCAGAAUUCCGUGAAUCAUCGAAUCUUUGAACGCACAUUGCGCCCCCUGGUAUUCCGGGGGGCAUGCCUGUUCGAGCGUCAUUGCAACCCUCAAGCCCGGCUUGUGUGAUGGACGACCGUCCAGCCUUACGGCGGGACGCGCCCGAAAUGCAGUGGCUAGGCCGCGAUUCCGGCGCCUGAGCGAAUGGGACUUCCAACGCUUUCUAGGACCGGCCGGCUUUUCUGGCCUUUUAACCGGACGUGUUUUCGCCUUUAUCGGAAGAAAACCGCCCACUUAACCAAAGGUUGACCUCGGAUCAGGUAGGGAUACCCGCUGAACUUAAGCAUAUCAAUAA
rnacentral:misc_RNA from 1 species